rnacentral:tRNA from 1 species
GGGUAUAUAGUUCAGGGGUAGAACAGGUGCUUAGCAUGCGUGAAGUCCUGGGUUCAAUCCCCAGUACCUCCA